rnacentral:rRNA from 1 species
UACGAAGGGGGCUAGCGUUGCUCGGAAUUACUGGGCGUAAAGCGCACGUAGGCGGACUCUUAAGUCGGUGGUGAAAUCCUGGAGCUCAACUCCAGAACUGCCUCCGAUACUGCGAGUCUCCGAGUCCGGGAGAGGUGAGUGGAACUGCGAGUGUAGAGGUGAAAUUCGUAGAUAUUCGCAAGAACACCAGUGGCGAAGGCGGCUCACUGGCCCGGUACUGACGCUGAGGUGCGAAAGCGUGGGGAGGCAAACAGGAUU